GCUCAGGAUGAACGCUAGCUACAGGCUUAACACAUGCAAGUCGAGGGGUAGCAGGGUAGCAAUACCGCUGACGACCGGCGCACGGGUGAGUAACACGUAUCCAACCUUCCCAUAACUCAGGGAUAGCCUUUCGAAAGAAAGAUUAAUACCUGAUAGUACUUAAGAAAGGCAUCUUUUUUAAGUUAAAGAUUUAUUGGUUAUGGAUGGGGAUGCGUUCCAUUAGAUAGUUGGUGUGGUAACGGCUCACCAAGUCUUCGAUGGAUAGGGGUUCUGAGAGGAAGGUCCCCCACAUUGGUACUGAGACACGGACCAAACUCCUACGGGAGGCAGCAGUGAGGAAUAUUGGUCAAUGGGCGAGAGCCUGAACCAGCCAA
rnacentral:rRNA from 1 species